GAAGUGGUGGUUGAAUGGUAAAAUUCUUGCCUUCCAUGUGGGACACCCGGGUUCAAUUCCCAGCCAGUGCA
rnacentral:tRNA from 1 species